rnacentral:SRP_RNA from 1 species
GCUGGGCAUGGUGGCGCAUGCCUGUAAUCCCAGCUACUCAGGAGGCUGAGGCUGGAGAAUCACUUGAGCCCAGGAGACGGAGGUUGUGGUGAGCAGAGAUCACGUCAUUGCACUCCAGCCUGGGCGAUAGAGUGAAAUUCCAUCUCUA